rnacentral:rRNA from 1 species
UACGUAGGGCGCAAGCGUUGUCCGGAUUCAUUGGGCGUAAAGAGCGUGUAGGCGGCCAGGUAGGUCGGUUGUGAAAACUGGAGGCUCAACCUUCAGAGGUCGACCGAAGCCAUCUGGCUAGAGUCCGGGAGAGGAGAGUGGAAUUCCCGGUGUAGCGGUGGAAUGCGUAGAGAUCGGGAAGAACAUCAGUGGCGAAGGCGGCCUGCUGGGCUGUUGCUGACGCUGAGGCGCGACAGCGUGGGGAGCAAACAGG